rnacentral:rRNA from 1 species
UAAGGGCGCACGGUGGAUGCCUUGGCACUAGAAGCCGAUGAAGGACGUUACUAACGACGAUAUGCUUUGGGGAGCUGUAAGUAAGCUUUGAUCCAGAGAUUUCCGAAUGGGGAAACCCAGCAUGAGUUAUGUCAUGUUAUCGAUAUGUGAAUACAUAGCAUAUCAGAAGGCACACCCGGAGAACUGAAACAUCUUAGUACCCGGAGGAAGAGAAAGAAAAUUCGAUUCCCUUAGUAGCGGCGAGCGAAACGGGAAGAGCCCAAACCAACAAGCUUGCUUGUUGGGGUUGUAGGACACUCUAUACGGAGUUACAAAGGACGACAUUAGACGAAUCAUCUGGAAAGAUGAAUCAAAGAAGGUAAUAAUCCUGUAGUCGAAAAUGUUGUCUCUCUUGAGUGGAUCCUGAGUACGACGGAGCACGUGAAAUUCCGUCGGAAUCUGGGAGGACCAUCUCCUAAGGCUAAAUACUCUCUAGUGACCGAUAGUGAACCAGUACCGUGAGGGAAAGGUGAAAAGCACCCCGGAAGGGGAGUGAAAUAGAACCUGAAACCGUGUGCUUACAAGUAGUCAGAGCCCGUUAAUGGGUGAUGGCGUGCCUUUUGUAGAAUGAACCGGCGAGUUACGAUUUGAUGCAAGGUUAAGCAGUAAAUGUGGAGCCGUAGCGAAAGCGAGUCUGAAUAGGGCGUUUAGUAUUUGGUCGUAGACCCGAAACCAGGUGAUCUACCCUUGGUCAGGUUGAAGUUCAGGUAACACUGAAUGGAGGACCGAACCGACUUACGUUGAAAAGUGAGCGGAUGAACUGAGGGUAGCGGAGAAAUUCCAAUCGAACCUGGAGAUAGCUGGUUCUCUCCGAAAUAGCUUUAGGGCUAGCCUCAAGUGAUGAUUAUUGGAGGUAGAGCACUGUUUGGACGAGGGGCCCCUCUCGGGUUACCGAAUUCAGACAAACUCCGAAUGCCAAUUAAUUUAACUUGGGAGUCAGAACAUGGGUGAUAAGGUCCGUGUUCGAAAGGGAAACAGCCCAGACCACCAGCUAAGGUCCCAAAAUAUAUGUUAAGUGGAAAAGGAUGUGGCGUUGCCCAGACAACUAGGAUGUUGGCUUAGAAGCAGCCAUCAUUUAAAGAGUGCGUAAUAGCUCACUAGUCGAGUGACACUGCGCCGAAAAUGUACCGGGGCUAAACAUAUUACCGAAGCUGUGGAUUGUCCUUUGGACAAUGGUAGGAGAGCGUUCUAAGGGCGUUGAAGCAUGAUCGUAAGGACAUGUGGAGCGCUUAGAAGUGAGAAUGCCGGUGUGAGUAGCGAAAGACGGGUGAGAAUCCCGUCCACCGAUUGACUAAGGUUUCCAGAGGAAGGCUCGUCCGCUCUGGGUUAGUCGGGUCCUAAGCUGAGGCCGACAGGCGUAGGCGAUGGAUAACAGGUUGAUAUUCCUGUACCACCUAUAAUCGUUUUAAUCGAUGGGGGGACGCAGUAGGAUAGGCGAAGCGUGCGAUUGGAUUGCACGUCUAAGCAGUAAGGCUGAGUAUUAGGCAAAUCCGGUACUCAUUAAGGCUGAGCUGUGAUGGGGAGAAGACAUUGUGUCUUCGAGUCGUUGAUUUCACACUGCCGAGAAAAGCCUCUAGAUAGAAAAUAGGUGCCCGUACCGCAAACCGACACAGGUAGUCAAGAUGAGAAUUCUAAGGUGAGCGAGCGAACUCUCGUUAAGGAACUCGGCAAAAUGACCCCGUAACUUCGGGAGAAGGGGUGCUCUUUAGGGUUAACGCCCAGAAGAGCCGCAGUGAAUAGGCCCAAGCGACUGUUUAUCAAAAACACAGGUCUCUGCUAAACCGUAAGGUGAUGUAUAGGGGCUGACGCCUGCCCGGUGCUGGAAGGUUAAGAGGAGUGGUUAGCUUCUGCGAAGCUACGAAUCGAAGCCCCAGUAAACGGCGGCCGUAACUAUAACGGUCCUAAGGUAGCGAAAUUCCUUGUCGGGUAAGUUCCGACCCGCACGAAAGGCGUAACGAUUUGGGCACUGUCUCAACGAGAGACUCGGUGAAAUCAUAGUACCUGUGAAGAUGCAGGUUACCCGCGACAGGACGGAAAGACCCCGUGGAGCUUUACUGUAGCCUGAUAUUGAAAUUCGGCACAGCUUGUACAGGAUAGGUAGGAGCCUUUGAAACGUGAGCGCUAGCUUACGUGGAGGCGCUGGUGGGAUACUACCCUAGCUGUGUUGGCUUUCUAACCCGCACCACUUAUCGUGGUGGGAGACAGUGUCAGGCGGGCAGUUUGACUGGGGCGGUCGCCUCCUAAAAGGUAACGGAGGCGCUCAAAGGUUCCCUCAGAAUGGUUGGAAAUCAUUCAUAGAGUGUAAAGGCAUAAGGGAGCUUGACUGCGAGACCUACAAGUCGAGCAGGGUCGAAAGACGGACUUAGUGAUCCGGUGGUUCCGCAUGGAAGGGCCAUCGCUCAACGGAUAAAAGCUACCCCGGGGAUAACAGGCUUAUCUCCCCCAAGAGUUCACAUCGACGGGGAGGUUUGGCACCUCGAUGUCGGCUCAUCGCAUCCUGGGGCUGUAGUCGGUCCCAAGGGUUGGGCUGUUCGCCCAUUAAAGCGGUACGCGAGCUGGGUUCAGAACGUCGUGAGACAGUUCGGUCCCUAUCCGUCGUGGGCGUAGGAAAUUUGAGAGGAGCUGUCCUUAGUACGAGAGGACCGGGAUGGACAUACCUCUGGUGUACCAGUUGU